UCCCGAUGAGGAAGCAAUCCCCUAAAAUUGAUAGGAAGUGCCGUAUGACACUCCAACAGCGCACAG